CCUACGGGAGGCUGCAGUGGGGAAUAUUGGACAAUGGGGGAACCCUGAUCCAGCCAUGCCGCGUGUGUGAAGAAGGCCCUCGGGUUGUAAAGCACUUUCAGUGAGGAAGAACGCCUGGUGGUUAAUACCCAUCAGGAAAGACAUCACUCACAGAAGAAGCACCGGCUAACUCCGUGCCAGCAGCCGCGGUAAUACGGAGGGUGCGAGCGUUAAUCGGAAUUACUGGGCGUAAAGCGCGCGUAGGUGGCUUGAUAAGCCGGUUGUGAAAGCCCCGGGCUCAACCUGGGAACGGCAUCCGGAACUGUCAAGCUAGAGUGCAGGAGAGGAAGGUAGAAUUCCCGGUGUAGCGGUGAAAUGCGUAGAGAUCGGGAGGAAUACCAGUGGCGAAGGCGGCCUUCUGGACUGACACUGACACUGAGGUGCGAAAGCGUGGGUAGCAAACAGGAUUAGAUACCCCUGUAGUC
rnacentral:rRNA from 1 species